UGACCUCGGAUCAGGUAGGACUACCCGCUGAACUUAAGCAUAUCAAUAAGCGGAGGAAAAGAAACCAACAGGGAUUGCCCCAGUAACGGCGAGUGAAGCGGCAACAGCUCAGAUUUGGAAUCUGGCCCCCAGGGCCCGAGUUGUAAUCUGGAGAGGAUGCUUCUGGCGCGGCGCCUUCCGAGUUCCCUGGAACGGGACGCCGGAGAGGGUGAGAGCCCCGUACGGUUGGACGCCUAGCCUUUGUGAAGCUCCUUCGACGAGUCGAGUAGUUUGGGAAUGCUGCUCAAAAUGGGAGGUAAAUUUCUUCUAAAGCUAAAUACCGGCCAGAGACCGAUAGCGCACAAGUAGAGUGAUCGAAAGAUGAAAAGCACUUUGAAAAGAGGGUCAAACAGUACGUGAAAUUGUUGAAAGGGAAGCGCCCGUGGCCAGACUUGUGCCCCGCGGACCACCCGGCGCCCUCAGCGCCGGUGCACUCCGCGGGGCGCAGGCCAGCAUCGGUUUUCCCAGGGGGAUAAAGGCGGCGGGAACGUGGCUCCCUCGGGAGUGUUAUAGCCCGCCGCGCCAUGCCCUGGGGGGACCGAGGACCGCGCUUCGGCAAGGAUG
rnacentral:rRNA from 1 species